GCUGAGCCCAGCGGGCGGGCGAGUUACUGCGCGCGCACCUCACCCGCCCCCUGCAUUCCCCUCCUUCGCCGGCAGGUGGAGAUGACGGGCAGCAGCGUCUUCGACUACAUUCACCCUGGGGACCACUCAGAGGUGCUGGAGCAACUGGGGCUGCGGACGCCGACGCCCGGCCCCCCAACCCCGCCCUCCGUCUCCUCUUCCUCCUCCUCUUCCUCUUCGCUUGCAGAUACCCCCGAGAUCGGAGCGCUCCUUCUUUGUCCGCAUGAAAUCCACGCUCACCAAGAGGGGGCUGCACGUCAAGGCCUCAGGGUACAAGGUCAUCCACGUGACUGGGCGCCUUCGGGCCCACGCCCUGGGCCUUGUGGCCCUCGGGCACACGUUGCCCCCGGCCCCCCUGGCUGAGCUGCCACUCCACGGACACAUGAUCGUCUUCCGUCUCAGCCUGGGUCUCACCAUCCUUGCUUGUGAGAGCAGAGUCAGCGACCACAUGGACCUGGGGCCCUCAGAGCUGGUGGGCCGCAGCUGCUACCAGUUUGUCCACGGACAGGACGCCACGAGGAUCCGCCAGAGCCACGUGGACUGUGAGACCCACCUCCACCCACCAAGCCUGCCUACCACCCCCUAGACCCGAGCAUCCCACUCCCUGGUCCCUGGAAGUCCUUCUUCAGGGCUGCCCACAGUCCCUCCUGCUGCACCUACAGCUCCAGGGACUCCGUUUAGCAUUGGAAGAGCAGCAAGGAGACUGAGUGAUGCCUCAGGAUG
rnacentral:sRNA from 1 species